UACGUAGGUGGCGAGCGUUGUCCGGAAUUAUUGGGCGUAAAGGAUGCGUAGGUGGAUAUUUAAGUGGGAUGUGAAAUCCCCGGGCUCAACCCGGGAACUGCAUUCCAUACUGGAUAUCUAGAGUGCAGGAGAGGAAAGCGGAAUUCCUAGUGUAGCGGUGAAAUGCGUAGAUAUUAGGAGGAACACCAGUGGCGAAGGCGGCUUUCUGGACUGUAACUGACACUGAGGCAUGAAAGCGUGGGUAGCAAACAGG
rnacentral:rRNA from 1 species